rnacentral:rRNA from 1 species
UACGAAGGGGGCUAGCGUUGCUCGGAAUCACUGGGCGUAAAGCGCACGUAGGCGGCUUUCUAAGUCAGGGGUGAAAUCCUGGAGCUCAACUCCAGAACUGCCUUUGAUACUGGGGAGCUCGAGUCCGGAAGAGGUGAGUGGAACUCCGAGUGUAGAGGUGAAAUUCGUAGAUAUUCGGAAGAACACCAGUGGCGAAGGCGGCGCACUGGUCCGGUACUGACGCUGAGGUGCGAAAGCGUGGGGAGCAAACAGG